rnacentral:lncRNA from 1 species
AUUAGUUCUGUUUUUUUGGAGAACGCUGACUAGUCCUAGUUGCCUUUCUUUUCUUUUUCCACUUUUCUUCUGAGCUCAUGUUCCACCUUCUGAUAUCUUAACAUCAUUUCCCUGAGCUCACUUUAUCCUUUUCCUUCUUAAAGGUGACCAUUUCAUUAAGUUUUUAAGUGCCUGGUAAUUGCUUGGUUAUGACCGGUGUCUGCUCCAUGGCAGCCUCUUCCUGAAGAAAUGCUGAGGCAGUGUCACGCUGGUGUCUGUCCUCCUUACAGAAUGCCUGAACAGUUCCAUUGACUCAAAGUGAAGAUCAAAAGAACCAAAGGACAGCAAUAGCCAAGUGUAAUCAUCAGUAACCCUGUGUUCUAUCCACAGUUAAAAGAAUAUUGGCAGAGAAACAGCCUUGGUGUUCCAGCAGGAGUGAAGAGGAACAGGAAAACACGUGGCAGUAGCCCUGAAACAGCCACUUCUGGUGGUUGCCACUCACCUGAGGAUGUGAGUCCUGGCAGGCCAGGCUCCUGGGGACAGGGGGCCCAAGGCGCAGUAGAGAGUAAUUUUUAAGAUUAUGGAUGGACUGUUGGGUACUGGUUAAGAAUUCUGGGUUUGGCCAGGCACAGUGGCUCAUGCCUGUAAUCCCAGCACUUUGGGAGACUGAGGCAGGUGGAUCACGAGCUCAGGAAAUUGAGACCAUCCUGGCUAACACGGUGAACCCCUGUCUCUCCUAAAAAUACAAAAAAAUUAGCCAGGCUUGGUGACGGGUGCCUGUAGUCCCAGCUACUCAGGAGGCUGAGGCAGGAGAAUGGCGUGAACCUGGGAGGCGGAGCUUGCAGUGAGUUGACAUUGUGCCACCACACUCCAGCCUGGGAGGCAAAGCGAGACUCCGUCUCAGAAAAAAAAAAAAAAAGAAUUCUGGGUUUGAAUCCUGCCUCUCCGUCUGCUAGGGAUAUGAUUUAGGGCAAGUUGCUUGAGCUCUUUGGGCCUCUCUUAUUACAUCUGUAUAAUAGAGGUGGUAUUGUUUGACUUCCAUUUGUGAAGUUUAAAUGAGAUUUUUUAUUGUUGUUUUUAUGUUAAUCCCUAGUACAUGGCCUGCUGUAAACACCCAGGACACCCAGGAUAUGGUCAUUGCUCUUUGAUUUUCCUCAUCCCCAGUCUCAAGGGGAAGCCAGGACAAUGAGAACAGCCACUUGCCAUCAAGAGUCACUGAAAGGGCCUCAGGGUGGGAUGGUGGGGGGGAUAAGAACCAUGAGAGAAGUUGGCACAAAGGAGUUAUGGGACAAAGCGUCCAAGAUAGGCAGAAAAGAAAAUGUAGCCAGUUGAUGGGGAAGAAAGGAAGUCAGAGGGCUUAGACACUGAGGGGGACAGAACAUCUCCAUGUGCACUCUCAUCUCUGGUAGUCAGCAACAGGUAUCCACGGGGAGGGCCCUACAUCAUCUGCUACCCUGAAGGAUCUGGAGGUAAGAGGCUCUGGGGAGAGGUGCAGUGACCCUGCAGGCCAGCCCUCCAACCUCCUCCCACAGUGGAGACGGCAUGCCCCUCUGCCAGCUGAGACAGCCCACACACACCCCAGCCUUAAUGAUUGUUCUCUCUACCUCUCCCCCACUCCUCCUCCACCUCUGCAUGCACCUCAGAGCCCGUGCCAAGAACUAGCAGUAGUCCUGGACUCGAGGUCCAUAAAAAUCAGUCAACUGAAUAACACCAUCAAAUCUUUGGUAAGAGUCCAGUGGGGUCCCC